AAACCGAUUGAGAAUGCAAACCAUCAAUGUUUUAUAUAAAAUCCGAAACACCAAAAUAAACACUGACUUUGAGUAGCGAUUGCUCUCCCCUCACAAACCCUAAUGAAACCAAACUAGUGACCUUGAAAAGAGCUUGAAGCUAGUUCUUCGAUCCAAAAAAACCCGAUCUGAAAAAAAUCCUCCCUCCUAUUUCUUAACCUUCCUCCCCUUUAACCCUAAUGAAACCAAACUAGUGACCUUGAAAAGAGCUUGAAGCUAGCUCUUCGAUCCAAAAAAACCCUCACUGAAAAAACCCCCCUUCAUUUCUUAACCUUCCUCCCCUUUAACCCUAAUUCUCCCCU
rnacentral:lncRNA from 1 species